GAAUAUUGGACAAUGGGCGAAAGCCUGAUCCAGCCAUGCCGCGUGAGUGAUGAAGGCCCUAGGGUUGUAAAACUCUUUCGCCGAGGACGAUAAUGACGGUACUCGGAGAAGAAGCUCCGGCUAACUUCGUGCCAGCAGCCGCGGUAAUACGAAGGGGGCUAGCGUUGUUCGGAUUUACUGGGCGUAAAGCGCGUGUAGGCGGAUUUGUAAGUUGGGGGUGAAAUCCCGAGGCUCAACCUCGGAACUGCCUCCAAAACUACAAAGUCUGGAGCAAGAUAGAGGCAAGUGGAAUUGCGAGUGUAGAGGUGAAAUUCGUAGAUAUUCGCAGGAACACCAGUGGCGAAGGCGACUUGCUGGAUCUUUGCUGACGCUGAGACGCGAAAGCGUGGGGAGCAAACAGG
rnacentral:rRNA from 1 species